rnacentral:rRNA from 1 species
CCGCCGGCGACCGGCGCACGGGUGAGUAACACGUAUGCAACCUGCCCCUGUCAGGGGGACAACCCGCCGAAAGGCGGGCUAAACCCGCGUACAUGCCACCGGGGCAUCCCGGAGGCAGGAAAGGCUUCGGCCGGACAGGGAUGGGCAUGCGGCGCAUUAGCUAGACGGCGGGGUAACGGCCCACCGUGGCGACGAUGCGUAGGGGUUCUGAGAGGAAGGUCCCCCACACUGGUACUGAGACACGGACCAGACUCCUACGGAAGGCAGCAG